rnacentral:rRNA from 1 species
AACGAACGCUGGCGGCAUGCCUAACACAUGCAAGUCGAACGAGACCUUCGGGUCUAGUGGCGCACGGGUGCGUAACGCGUGGGAACCUGCCCUUAGGUUCGGAAUCACUCCCCGAAAGGGGUGCUAAUACCGGAUAAUCUCUUCGGACCAAAGAUUUAUCGCUUUUGGGUGGGCCCGCGUUGGAUUCGCUAGUUGGUAGUGUAAAAGCCUACCAAGGCGGCGAUCCAUAGCUGGUCUGAGAGGAUGAUCAGCCACACUGGGCCUGAGACACGGCCCAGACUCCUACGGAAGGGAGCAGUGGGGAAUAUAGGACAAUGGGCGAAGGCCUGAUCCCGCAAUGCCGCGUAAGUGAUGAAGGCCUUAGGGUAGUGAAGCUGUUUUACCCGGGGUGAUAAUGACGGUACCGGGAGAAUAAGCACCGGCUAACUCCGUG